rnacentral:lncRNA from 1 species
GUGUGCGUGCGGGUGGGGUGGGCUGGGGUGGCAGCGGGGAGGGGGUGUCCUCCCCUCCCCUCCCCUCCCCUCCCCUGGGGCCCGCCCCCACCUCUGCCCCGCGCUAGGCAGGAGGGCGGGGCGCCCGGCGAGGGGCUCAGGCGCGGCGGCGGCUGUCACUCACGCACUCACGCGGGAGGAAUGCAGACGGCAGGGCUGCCCUGUGGUCACGUCUCCGCCCCACCGACGGAGGGCCGGGAGGAGGGGGACGCUGCUGCCUGGGCCUUUGAUGUUCCAGAGAAGAGAUGGUGAGAUGGCGCUGGGAGUCACUGCUGCUGUGGGGUGUGUGCUUGGGGGGAGCCCUGUGAUGUCACAUCAGGAGCCCAGAGAUGGCAGGUAUGCGGGCCAGGCCCAGGGGUGA